ensembl:lncRNA
AUGAAAACAGAUCCCAGUUUCAUGUUACACAGCUCUAACACAGUAGCUCCAUACGUUGACAAAACUCUAUUUAGACAAAUCAGACGAACAAACAGAGUUCCUGUGGCAGUGAAUAAAACAGAGAUAGGUCAAGCGAGUAGCAACAUUAAAACAACUACUCUCAACCCAGAGAAGCAAUGUCCCAUUCACCAUAAGCCACACGCACUUGCCAGAUGCAGAGGGUUUAGAAUGAAAACAUUAGAUGAAAGAAAGAGUUUGCUUAAAGAACACUUUAUAUGUUAUAAAUGUGUUUCAUCCACGAGUCACAGAGCUAAAGACUGUAAAGCUGUCAUACAGUGCUCAGAGUGCAAUAGUGACUCACAUGUGUCUGCCAUGCACGCGGGUCCACCGCCGUGGACUUUUAGAGACUCUGACCCUCCUCCACAGAGCCACGGCGGGGAGGCUGACCCUCAAAACCCUGUCACUACAGCCAGCUGCACAGAAAUAUGUGGUCCAGGCCUACAAGGUAAAUCGUGCUCCAAGAUAUGCCUUGUCAAUGUGUACCCUCGCACUUCCCCUGAAAAGAAAAGGAGAAUGUACGUUAUGUUAGAUGAUCAAAGCAAUUCAUCUCUAGCUCGAUCAGCCUUCUUUGACAUGUUUAAUGUGCAAGGUGGUAUUCUCCCAUACACUAUGAGAACAUGUGCUGGAAUAUCGGACACAAGGGGGCGCAGAGCUAAUGACUUUGUUAUUGAGAACGUUAAUGGAAAAGUAUCCAUGUUGCUGCCCACACUAAUGGAAUGUGAUCAGAUUCCAGAUAACAGAAACGAGAUACCCACUCCUGAGGCAGCAGCUGCUCAUCCUCAUCUUCACCAGAUUGCAUCGCAGAUUCCUCCACUGGACCCAAAAGCAGACAUUCUUCUCCUCCUCGGGAGAGAUAUCAUUCAAGCCCAUAAGGUCCGCAGUCAGGUAAACGGCCCCAACAAUGCACCUUAUGCCCAACACCUUGACCUGGGGUGGGUAGUCGUGGGAGAUAUUUGCUUAUCAGGGGCUCAUAGACCUAGUGUGAACUCAUUCACGACCAAUAUUCUGAGCAAUGGUCGUUCCAGCUUCUUCACUCCCUGUAUGAGUACAAUCCACAUCAAAGAGAAAUACGCAGAAACGUGUCCCAUUCUUCAUACACCCCAAAAUGAACUAGGCGCACAGCUUUUCCAACAAACAACAGAUGAUGAUAAAGUAGCACUUUCUGAGGAGGAUGCUUUAUUCUUGGACAUUAUGCAAAAAGAACUAAUCAAAGAUGAGGCAAAUAAUUGGGUAGCUCCUCUCCCAUUUCGCUCCCCCAGGCAGCGUCUGCCCAACAACAGGGAACAAGCUUUCACUCGUUUAAUGUCACUCCGCAAAACACUGAAAAGAAAACCUGAAAUGAGAGAGCAUUAUGUUGACUUUAUGGAGAAAAUCUUUAACAAAGGCCAUGCUGAACCAGCCCCUCCUCUCUCGCCUGACCAAGAAUGCUGGUAUCUCCCUAGUUUUGGUGUUUACCACCCCCAAAAGCCAGGCAAGAUUAGGGUGGUCUUUGACUCAAGCGCACAAUGUGAUAAUAUCUCUCUCAAUGAUGUGCUGCUAAAAGGGCCAGAUCUCAACAACAGUCUUGUGGGAGUUCUGCUACGCUUCCGGUCUGAUCCAUAUGCAGUCAUGGCAGAUGUAGAGCAAAUGUUUUACAACUUUUUGGUCAGGGAGGACCAUCGCGACUAUCUGCGCUUUCUGUGGUUCAAAAAUCAUGAUCUGGAUGGAGAAGUAAUGGAGUUCAGGAUGCGAGUACACGUUUUUGGAAACUGCCCAUCCCCAUCAAUCGCUAUCUAUGGGCUUAAGAAAACAGCCAUGGAAGGGGAAGCUGAAUUUGGCAGUAAAGCAAGGGAGUUCAUUGAACGUCACUAUUAUGUUGACGAUGGACUGAAAUCGUUCCCUUCAGCAGAUGAGGCAGUGGAUGUACUUUGUAGAGCUCAGAAAAUGCUAGCACAGUGUAACAUACGCCUGCACAAAAUCUCAUCAAACUGUCCUGAAAUCACCAGUGCCUUCCCAGCUGAGGACCUUGCAGCAGCCACACAGGGCCUUGAGCUUGGUCAGACAUCCCCUCCCAUGCAGCGCAGCCUAGGCUUGGGUUGGGACCUCGCCACAGACCUGUUCAAGUUUCAGGUAACAGUAAAUGAUAAACCAUUCACCAAAAGGGGAGUACUUUCAGUCAUUAAUAGUGUGUACGACCCCCUCGGUUUUGCUGUCCCAGUCAUUGUAGAAGGUCGAACCAUACUAAGAGACAUUUCCACUAACAUUAACGAAUGGGACACUGAACUGCCUAAAGACAAGUUAGAGCAGUGGCGGCAGUGGAAGGACUCUCUGAAACACCUACAACAGCUUGAAAUUCCCAGAAUGUACACCUCAAUACCAAUGUCUGCAGCUGAAAGAAAAGAGAUCAUUGUCUUCUGCGAUGCCUCCAUUAAAGCUGUGGGUGCCGUCGCCUAUCUCAAACUCUCAAACACAGAAGGACACAGUGAAGUGGGCUUUCUUCUCGGCAAAGCACGACUCGCUCCUAAACCGGACAUCACCAUACCAAGGCUUGAACUCUGUGCAGCGGUGCUGGCUGUCGAGGUCGCAGAACUGGUUCUGGAGGAACUAGAUAUCAUAGUUGAUCAGGUGAGCUUUUUCACAGACUCAAAAGUAGUGCUUGGUUACAUCUCAAACAAAAAGAGACGCUUUUACGUGUAUGUCCACAAUAGAGUAGAGCGCAUCAGACGUUUCACCCAACCUCACCAGUGGAAAUACGUGCCCACUCAUCUAAAUCCAGCUGAUCACGCCACACGCGCACUACCCGCUGAGCAGCUCUUUAACUCCGCAUGGCUCAGCGGACCUGCUUUCCUCAUUGAUUCAAAGCAGAGUCAAAUAGAGGCACAGGCAUUUGAACUUAUACACCCAGAGACUGAUAGUGAACUGCGUCCUGAGGUUACUACCUGUGCCACUAUUCUGUCAAAAGGCAAGCUAGGUAGCGCAAGAUUUGAAAGGUUUUCAAGUUGGAAUGUGUUACUUGGAGCCAUUGCUAAACUCAAACACACAGCCCAGUCAUUCAAGAACAGUACUGAAAGCACAUGUUACGGCUGGCACAAAUGCAGUGAGCAUUUAAGUGAAAACCAACUCAACCAAGCAAAAAUCACAGUCAUUUGCAGUGUCCAAAGAGAGCUUUACAGAGAAGAAAUAAAACAAAUAGAACAGGGAGCUCCUCUAAAAAACUCAAGCCCACUCAGCAAACUGAACCCAUUCAUUGACACUAAUGGCAUUCUGAGAGUCGGUGGGCGCCUAAAAAGAGCGCAGUUACUGUCAGAUGAAACAAACCCCAUUCUCAUCCCGAGUAAACACCACCUGGCCCAGCUCAUAAUAAGACAUUUUCAUGAAAAGGUGCACCAUCAAGGCAGGCAUUUCACAGAAGGGGCUAUCAGAGCUGGAGGUUUUUGGAUUGUUGGAGGCAAAAGAACAAUAAGCAGUGUAAUAUUCAAAUGUGUCACAUGCCGAAGACUCAGAGGCAAACAACAAGAGCAGAUCAUGGCUGACCUACCAGAGGACAGGUUGUCCACAGACCCUCCUUUCACUCAUGUAGGCCUUGAUGUAUUUGGUCCGUGGCCCGUCUCAGUCAGAAAAACACGAGGAGGUCAAGCAGAUGCAAAAAGGUGGGCCGUCAUAUUCACUUGUAUGAGUACACGUGCCAUACACAUUGAAGUUAUUGAAUCAAUGGACACAUCAUCAUUCAUAAAUGCACUGCGUCGUUUUUUUGCUAUCAGGGGUGCUGCUAAACUCCUCAGAUCAGAUUGUGGAACAAACUUUGUAAGCGCCUGCAAAGAACUACAGAUUAACAAACAGGGCAGCCACGACAACAAAAUCGACAACUUUCUCAAAGACACUGGCUGUAAGUGGCACUUUAAUCCGCCGCAUGCAUCUCAUAUGGCAGGCUCUUGGGAACGAAUGAUAGGGGUCACACGCAAAAUCCUGGAUGCUAUGCUCCUGAAAGACAAAAAUGGAAAACUCACACAUGAAACACUGGUGACGUUAAUGGCUGAAGUGACUGCUAUAGUAAAUGCACGACCACUCACAACAGUUUCCACAGAUCCGGAGAACCCAGCCAUUCUUACCCCUGCAAUGUUACUUACGCAGAAAGUCAGCACUCCACCAGUACCACCAGGUCAGUUUGAAAGCCGUGACUUGUUUAGGGCACAGUGGAGGCGUGUACAGCACCUAGCCAACACCUUCUGGAGCCGUUGGCAAAAGGAAUACAUCACAGGACUUCAGCACCGCCGCAAGUGGAAAGCAGUUACACCCAAUUUACAAACAGGGGAUGUAGUUCUGCUGAAGGAAUCCCUCGAACACAGGAAUAACUGGCCACUUGGACUGAUAUCGAAAACAUUCCCCAGUGCUGAUGGUCGUGUUCGAAAAGUAGAGGUUAAGAUUUUCCGUAAGGGUGAACACAGAUGUUAUCUCCGACCCAUAAGUGAGGUUGUUCUGUUGGUGCCUAAGGAUAAUGCUUAG